AUUGAACGCUGGCGGCAUGCCUUACACAUGCAAGUCGAACGGCAGCACGGGAGCAAUCCUGGUGGCGAGUGGCGAACGGGUGAGUAAUAUAUCGGAACGUGCCCAGUCGUGGGGGAUAACGUAGCGAAAGCUACGCUAAUACCGCAUACGAUCUAUGGAUGAAAGCGGGGGAUCGCAAGACCUCGCGCGAUUGGAGCGGCCGAUAUCAGAUUAGGUAGUUGGUGAGGUAAAGGCUCACCAAGCCGACGAUCUGUAGCUGGUCUGAGAGGACGACCAGCCACACUGGGACUGAGACACGGCCCAGACUCCUACGGGAGGCAGCAGUGGGGAAUUUUGGACAAUGGGCGCAAGCCUGA
rnacentral:rRNA from 1 species